AUUGAACGCUGGCGGCAUGCCUUACACAUGCAAGUCGAACGGCAGCGGACCUUCGGGUGCCGGCGAGUGGCGAACGGGUGAGUAAUAUAUCGGAACGUACCUUUCAGUGGGGGAUAACGUAGCGAAAGUUACGCUAAUACCGCAUAUUCUGUGAGCAGGAAAGCAGGGGAUCGCAAGACCUUGCGCUGAUUGAGCGGCCGAUAUCAGAUUAGCUAGUUGGUGAGGUAAAGGCUCACCAAGGCGACGAUCUGUAGCGGGUCUGAGAGGAUGAUCCGCCACACUGGAACUGAGACACGGUCCAGACUCCUACGGGAGGCAGCAGUGGGGAAUUUUGGACAAUGGGCGCAAGCCUGAUCCAGCCAUGCCGCGUGAGUGAAGAAGGCCUCGGGUU
rnacentral:rRNA from 1 species